rnacentral:rRNA from 1 species
CAAUACAAACAUUAUGUGUGUACUCUCCUGUUGUCCGGUUAGCCGGGCAUUGGAGCGGUGCUAUGUCUUAACAAUAAACGACUCUCGGCAACGGAUAUCUAGGCUCUCGCAUCGAUGAAGAACGUAGCGAAAUGCGAUACUUGGUGUGAAUUGCAGAAUCCCGUGAACCAUCGAGUUUUUGAACGCAAGUUGCGCCCGAAGCCUCUGGCUUAGGGCACGUCUGCCUGGGCGUCACGCAUCGCGUCUCCCCCAAAUCCACCCGAGUGGAGGGGAAGGAGGAUGGUCUCCCGUGACUCAUCGGUCGCGGCUGGCCUAAAAUUGGAGCCCUCGGCAUCGGGAUGUCGUGGCGAUAGGUGGUGAGAAGGCCUUGGCCAAGCAAGCAACCCGCCGCGCGUCACCAUGCCAACGUGAGCUCGAAGGACCCUUUAAGUUGUCUAACGGCAUCCUAACUAUUGCG